rnacentral:rRNA from 1 species
ACGGGUGAGUAAUACAUCGGAACGUAUCCUGGAGUGGGGGAUAGCCCGGCGAAAGCCGGAUUAAUACCGCAUACGCUCUGAGGAGGAAAGCGGGGGACCUUCGGGCCUCGCGCUCAAGGGGCGGCCGAUGGCGGAUUAGGUAGUUGGUGGGGUAAAGGCCUACCAAGCCGACGAUCCGUAGCUGGUCUGAGAGGACGACCAGCCACACUGGGACUGAGACACGGCCCAGACUCCUACGGGAGGCAGCAGUGGGGAAUUUUGGACAAUGGGGGCAACCCUGAUCCAGCAAUGCCGCGUGUGUGAAGAAGGCCUUCGGGUUGUAAAGCACUUUUGUCCGGAAAGAAAUCAUCGGGGCCAAUACCCCUGGUGGAUGACGGUACCGGAAGAAUAAGCACCGGCUGACUACGUGCCAGCAGCCGCGGUAAUACGUAGGGUGCGAGCGUUAAUCGGAAUUACUGGGCGUAAAGCGUGCGCAGGCGGUGCUGUAAGACCGAUGUGAAAUCCCCGGGCUUAACCUGGGAACUGCAUUGGUGACUGCAGCGCUGGAGUAUGGCAGAGGGGGGUGGAAUUCCACGU